GACGAACGCUGGCGGCGUGCUUAACACAUGCAAGUCGAACGGAAAGGCCCUGCCUUUGUGGGGUGCUCGAGUGGCGAACGGGUGAGUAACACGUGAGUAACCUGCCCUUGACCUUGGGAUAACUUCAUGAAACUGGGGCUAAUACCGGAUAGGAGCUCCUGCUGCAUGGUGGGGGUUGGAAAGUUUCGGCGGUUGGGGAUGGACUCGCGGCUUAUCAGCUUGUUGGUGGGGUAGUGGCUUACCAAGGCUUUGACGGGUAGCCGGCCUGAGAGGGUCACCGGCCACAUUGGGACUGAGAUACGGCACAGACUCGAACGGGAGGCAGCGGUGGAGAGUAUUGCACAAUGGGCGGGAGCCUGAUGCAGCAACGCCGCGUGCGGGAUGACGGCCUUCGGGUUGUGAACCGCUGUCGCCUGUGACGGAGCGUGAGUGACGGUACUGGGUAAAGAAGCACCGGCUAACUACGUG
rnacentral:rRNA from 1 species